ensembl:lncRNA novel transcript
AUUAUCCCCUUGGGGGUUAGGAUUUCAAUAUAUGAAUUUUUGGGAAACACAAACAUUUAGCCCAUGACAGGGGCCAAGGGAGUGAGGUGGGAUCAGAAACCAAGGCCCUCAGAUGUGUGUGUGGCAGGGAGGGUGGUGGGUAAGAAACUCAUCAGUGCGGUUUCUGCACACGCCCUGUUUAUCCAGGCCCUUUGAUUCUCCCCAAGAGGGAGGAGACCAGCGAGGAGACCAGCAUUGGGCAGAACAGAGAAAAGAGGUGGCAAAUUAUUACCCAUUAAGUUCCAGAGCCACAGAAGCAGUUAUAAAGUAGAAAGAUUUGGGAAGAAGGUGUGAUCAGCAGAAAGCAGAUUUUCUUCCUCCCCUUCUGCUGGGACAGAUGAAGAUGUGGCGGGCACGGGGGAUGGAUGAACAAGGACACGUGGUCAGAGGCACAAGGGAGUAAUUGUCAGGGAUCCAAGUCACUUGCAGAGGCCUUUCUGAAUGGUGGGUUCUGAGGUGGCUGUAUCCAGGUGUGGCGUCUCCACCCUUGGCCUUGCAUGGAGAACCCAGGAAGCGAAGCUACAAGGGCAAAGCAGAAGGAUGGGG